AAUGGGUCAGCGACUUAUAUUCUGUAGCAAGGUUAACCGAAUAGGGGAGCCGAAGGGAAACCGAGUCUUAACUGGGCGUUAAGUUGCAGGGUAUAGACCCGAAACCCGGUGAUCUAGCCAUGGGCAGGUUGAAGGUUGGGUAACACUAACUGGAGGACCGAACCGACUAAUGUUGAAAAAUUAGCGGAUGACUUGUGGCUGGGGGUGAAAGGCCAAUCAAACCGGGAGAUAGCUGGUUCUCCCCGAAAGCUAUUUAGGUAGCGCCUCGUGAAUUCAUCUCCGGGGGUAGAGCACUGUUUCGGCAAGGGGGUCAUCCCGACUUACCAACCCGAUGCAAACUGCGAAUACCGGAGAAUGUUAUCACGGGAGACACACGGCGGGUGCUAACGUCCGUCGUGAAGAGGGAAACAACCCAGACCGCCAGCUAAGGUCCCAAAGUCAUGGUUAAGUGGGAAACGAUGUGGGAAGGCCCAGACAGCCAGGAUGUUGGCUUAGAAGCAGCCAUCAUUUAAAGAAAGCGUAAUAGCUCACUGGUCGAGUCGGCCUGCGCGGAAGAUGUAACGGGGCUAAACCAUGCACCGAAGCUGCGGCAGCGACGCUUAUGCGUUGUUGGGUAGGGGAGCGUUCUGUAAGCCUGUGAAGGUGUGCUGUGAGGCAUGCUGGAGGUAUCAGAAGUGCGAAUGCUGACAUAAGUAACGAUAAAGCGGGUGAAAAGCCCGCUCGCCGGAAGACCAAGGGUUCCUGUCCAACGUUAAUCGGGGCAGGGUGAGUCGACCCCUAAGGCGAGGCCGAAAGGCGUAGUCGAUGGGAAACAGGUUAAUAUUCCUGUACUUGGUGUUACUGCGAAGGGGGGACGGAGAAGGCUAUGUUGGCCGGGCGACGGUUGUCCCGGUUUAAGCGUGUAGGCUGGUUUUCCAGGCAAAUCCGGAAAAUCAAGGCUGAGGCGUGAUGACGAGGCACUACGGUGCUGAAGCAACAAAUGCCCUGCUUCCAGGAAAAGCCUCUAAGCAUCAGGUAACAUCAAAUCGUACCCCAAACCGACACAGGUGGUCAGGUAGAGAAUACCAAGGCGCUUGAGAGAACUCGGGUGAAGGAACUAGGCAAAAUGGUGCCGUAACUUCGGGAGAAGGCACGCUGAUAUGUAGGUGA
rnacentral:rRNA from 1 species